GAUGAACGCUGGCGGCGUGCCUAAUACAUGCAAGUCGAGCGAACGGACGAGAAGCUUGCUUCUCUGAUGUUAGCGGCGGACGGGUGAGUAACACGUGGAUAACCUACCUAUAAGAAUGGGAUAACUUCGGGAAACCGUAGCUAAUACCGGAUAAUAUUUUGAACCGCAUGGUUCAAAAGUGAAAGACGGUCUUGCUGUCACUUAUAGAUGGAUCCGCGCUGCAUUAGCUAGUUGGUAAGGUAACGGCUUACCAAGGCAACGAUGCAUAGCCGACCUGAGAGGGUGAUCGGCCACACUGGAACUGAGACACGGUCCAGACUCCUACGGGAGGCAGCAGUAGGGAAUCUUCCGCAAUGGGCGAAAGCCUGACGGAGCAACGCCGCGUGAGUGAUGAAGGUCUUCGGAUCGUAAAACUCUUUUAUUAGGGAAGAACAUAUGUGUAAGUAACUGUGCACAUCUUGACGGUACCUAAUCAGAAAGCCACGGCUAACUACGUG
rnacentral:rRNA from 1 species